UACGAAGGGGGCUAGCGUUGUUCGGAAUCACUGGGCGUAAAGCGCACGUAGGCGGAUUUGUAAGUCAGGGGUGAAAUCCCGGGGCUCAACCUCGGAACUGCCUUUGAUACUGCAAGUCUUGAGUCCGAUAGAGGUGGGUGGAAUUCCUAGUGUAGAGGUGAAAUUCGUAGAUAUUCGCAAGAACACCAGUGGCGAAGGCGGCUCACUGGCCCAUUACUGACGCUGAGGCACGAAAGCGUGGGGAGCAAACAGG
rnacentral:rRNA from 1 species